CUUGGUCAUUUAGAGGAAGUAAAAGUCGUAACAAGGUUUCCGUAGGUGAACCUGCGGAAGGAUCAUUACUGAACGAAAUGGGUGGCAAGGCUGUCGCUGGCUCUAAUGAGCAUGUGCACGCCUUUUGCUGCUUGCUUCAUUCUCUUUUCCACCUGUGCACUCUUUGUAGACACUCGGGAUGGGGAGAGAGGUUGGCAUCGAAUGUUGGCCUCUCUUGAUAUUAAAAAGUCUGGGUGUCUAUGUGUUUUUUCACAUACACAAUUUGAAUGUCUAUAGAAUGAAAUUGUAGGCUUUUGUCAGCCUUUUAAAUGAUAAAAUACAACUUUCAACAACGGAUCUCUUGGCUCUCGCAUCGAUGAAGAACGCAGCGAAAUGCGAUAAGUAAUGUGAAUUGCAGAAUUCAGUGAAUCAUCGAAUCUUUGAACGCAUCUUGCGCUCCUUGGUAUUCCGAGGAGCAUGCCUGUUUGAGUGUCAUUAAAUAUCUCAAAAAACUUGUGCUUUUUUGGCAUGGGAUUUUUGGACAUUGGGAGUUGCCGGCUGCUGAUAAAGUGGUGGGCUCUUCUGAAAAGCAUUAGUUGAGGAGCUUUGCACUCUAUUGGUGUGAUAGACUAUCUAUGCCAGGAGAUGCUUCAUGAUCCUCUGCUGUCUAACUGUCUUUAUCAGACAAUAUGUGAUAAACUUGACCUCAAAUCAGGUAGGACUACCCGCUGAACUUAAGCAUAUCAAUAAGCGGAGGA
rnacentral:rRNA from 1 species